UGUUAAAAAUUUCAUUCAUUUUUAUUGUUAAAAAACUGGUGUAGCUAAUAGAAUAACCAAACAAUUACAUGUGACGUGCCACAUGUACCUCAUUUUGACAUACAUAGACCAGUUUUUAACAGUAAAAAUAGAUGAAAUUUCAAACA
rfam:Gossypium hirsutum cultivar TM-1 chromosome 13, whole genome shotgun sequence